UUAAAAAGGUGAGAUGACGCAUAAAUAAUAUCUUUUAUGGGGCACGUACUAUGUGCCAGCACUGUCUCAUUAGGCAAGUGUUACAACUUCCAUUUAUGGUUAAAAGCCUGCAGGCUUUGAAAGAUUGGCUGGCUGACUCAUAUGACUGAUAGGUUUCAGAGGCUUAAUCAAGAAGUCCAGUUCUCUAGGCUAUAUGAGAAAAAACUGUCAGUAUAUAUGCCCUUGUGUUUUUUUAAUAUACACAUUUCUAUACAAAUAGAAAACUAGUCUAAAUGAAUAUAAAGUUAGGAUGUUAUCUGGUUAUAUUUAAGCAGUAGGAUUACAGGUGGAUUCAGUUCUCUUUUUUCGACAUGUGCUUUUCGUAUUUGUCAACAAUGAAAACAUAUUACUUGAGAAGGAAAAAAAGAUAAAAAGAGAAACCCUUAGCUUUCGCCUUGGGCAACCGAAUCUAAAUAAGUGGCUUCUUGUCAGGAAGAAGCUGGACCCUUAGAGAUUUUAGGUUCAAUUCAGAGGCAAUAUUGGGCUUGAGGCUUUGCUUUGGAGCAAUCGUUCUGGAGAGAGGUAGACUUCAUUUCAGUUUGAAAGUUUGGGGUGGGUGUCAUUCCUGAAAAACUCAGGUUUUGUGGUUAUUACAGUUUCAAAUUUGCACCCCUGGGCCAGGGUUUGUACUAGGCUUUUAAGGUGGGGGAAAGUGUAGCACAGAGCCCGACACACCAACUCUCGGUGAAUGUUCCUUUCCCAUUUUCACCAGGAACCAGCUUAGCUCCAUUGGGAGCAAAGUACAUCAGACUCUAGAGAUGACAUUCCGAGAAAGGGAAGAGCCAGUGCUCUGGAGGCUGGCACUUCCAUCCUGCUGACUUGCCAAGGCGGCAUCGGCAGCUGAGGUCUGAGUUCCAUCCAGUUUCCCAUCCUCUGGACCACUGACAUUUCGGGCAGGUAAUCAUUUGUUGUGCAAGCUGUCCUGUUCAUUACAGGUUGUGUAGCAGCAUCUCUGGUCUCUACUCACCAGAUGCCAGUAGCAGUUACACCCACUCCCACUCCCACCCCCACCCCUGCUCAGUUGUGACAAAAACAUCUCCUGACAUUGCCAAGUGUCCCCGGUGAGUAAAAUUGCCCCCAGAUGAGAGCCACUGGGCUACAUAAAGAGCAAGUGGGAACAGGCAGGGGUCUACCUUACUUAGAGAUGUGAAAAAAGAUGCACUCAGAAUGAGAACAGGGUUGAAAACCAUCCACAUUGAAGAUAACUGUAACCAUGAGCCCUCUCACCAAGCAGUAGGUCCAUUUGACAGUAGACACAGGGUUGGUCUGUUCAAGAUUACAAAGAUAUGUGAAUUCUUCAUUCAUGUAUUCAACUUGUGAUAUGUGUGCAUCACUGCACUUGCCUUUUGUGUUAUUCUCCAAUUCUCUAGCUGGAGAUCUUCCACGAUGAGGCCCUUGUUAGUCUCCCCAGGCAGAAGCACCUGCUCCUCCCUGCAAUGCCCACAUCUCAUUCCUCUCUUAGGUGCUUGCUUUUUCCACAAUGUAUUGUACCACAACAACCUAUACACCAGAUCACCUACUGACCUACCUGUCCAUUCAAACAUUUACUAAGCACAUCCAUGUGCCAAGUGUUGAGUGCUAAAUGUCCGGCUGGCUUCUACUGUAAGCACACUGACCCUCAUGAAGGCAAAUGAUGCAGCCAGGGCUCCGACGCCAUGGAAAGAUGUUUGUCUGGAUGAAUUUAUUUGGAAUAUUUCAAUCAGAAAAAUCUGGAAAUGAAUUGAUACAUACAUGAGUUCUAUGCUUUUUGGCCUAGCAUUGUCUUGAUCUUGAAUUACAUGUAGAGGAUGAGGACACUAUAGUAUUUGCAGCACUUGCAGCUUCUAAAGAUCUUAAUUCUACUUUGGCUAAGUGCUGAGGAGGCAUGGAGAGAGGGUGUUUUUUUUUUUUUAAACUCAAGUUGAAGUUUGAGAUGUUUUGGUAGAAGUGCGUUCAGUGCAGGCACAAAGGAGAAUGGUCAGUUCCGGGGGUGGGUGGUGCUGGAAGGUACGGGAAGGCCCCUGGAAGACUGGAAGGUACUGGAGCUGACGCGAAAGAGGAAGAGCAUUAGCUCACUGACCGGGGCUGAUGGGGAGAAGAAGGCAGGCAUUUCACACAGAGGAAACUACAACUGAAUGCAGCCUGGGCAUCAGGAAGGUGGUGGGAGAUGUUAGGAGGUUUGAGGCAAGAGCAGAGGCCAGAACACAGGGACCCCUGCAAGCAGUACAUUGGAGUGUGGACUUUGUUCCACAGGUAGUGGUUUUUCCCACCGCACCCAGCAGCGAAGCCUUCUGCCUAGCAGAUGUGCAACGAACCUCUGCUGAAUUAACACAGGACUGACUUCGGCACUGCGGCAUGGUGUCUGUGUGCCCUGAGUCCAGGGACGUGGACAUGUGUGUGCAUGUGUGUUUGGGGGACCACAGGGGAUGUCAAGUUCAGGAGUCUGGAGCUUCCCCCUGUUCACUGAACACAGCUGUGUCCACGGGAUGCAGUUCCGCCAUACUUGCAGGCUAGUGAUUCACAGCAACCCCUUCUUCACGCCUUAGCUCAUCUCUAGCCAUUAGGUUAAAGCCUUCUGUCUUUAAAUUGAUCAGAAAAUUCUCUCCUUACUCUGCCCUCCUAUUCUCCACAACUGAAGAUCUGGAAACAUUCUUCUCCAAGGAAAACAGAGAACAGCAGGAUUACUCUUUCUCUGGGAGCCCUUCUCUUUGCCUUCCGCUCAAUUCCAGACCCAAACUCACCCCCUCCUCUCCAUAAGCAGUUCUCAUUCCCAGGCUCCAGCCUCAUUCCUCCGGAGUCAAGAGGUUGGUGAUCUCCUUGAGGGCAAAGUCAGCCUCCCCCAGUGCCUCCUCAGGACCUAUAACCAUGCACACUUUACACUGUUACUUUGCAUUUAAUUCAUGUGUCACUUGUUAACAUUUAAAAUCUUCUCUUAUCCAUUUUCUUUCCCCAGAUAGAUUGAAGCUGCUCCUGAAAAACGUCCAAUACCUUUCAUCUUUUAAAACUUCUCAAGGUUCUAUGCACCUGGGGGUUUCUUACCAAUACAUUCCUCCAGUUUUUUAUCUAUUUCUCUAGCUUUAUUUCUUAGAUAGGCUGUUUUAUGUGAUUUUAUUAUCAUUUCACUAUGAUUGAAUCCUCUACGAAAGUAUGAUACAUUUUAGAUAAACAUGACCAAACAUUUCCCAUGACACUGCAAUGAAAACAGCACUUCUUGAUUUUCUGAGCAAAGAACUAUUAUAAUCAGCCACAAGUCCCUGGGUUUCUUGGACACUGGCAUCUUCAAUUUCCUGAUGGCUAUGGAGAUGUCUGAGAGCAUUAUCAAGGAGGCUUCUCCUUGAUAACACAGACGAGUGAUUCCUAAGAAUCUUUUAGCUCACAAAGUUCUCUUUCCAGAGAAGAGUGGCUUUUUCUCAACCAGGAGAUUUCCAAUGCAUUUACAUUUGAAAACUAGGACCCUUGGAAAGUCUAAUAUUAACUUUGAACUUUUCUCUUAGAGCUGCAAGAUCCCAGAGGACAACAUUAAAACCUGUGAUACAGCAGUCUUCAUAAUUAUAAUGCAAGAGAAGUCAUGACUACCCCUACCAGCCAAUGCAAAACUGUCACUGAGAAAGACGUAACUGCCCGAACAGAGCAAUAACCGGUGAGCAAAAAGCCAGGGAACACAGGACUUUCCUAUUCUGUAACACUGCAAAAUUUACCAAAACAAAGUAGAGGGGGUAUAAAUAGUUACCCUGAUUUUGGAAGGUAAUUUGACAAAUCUUUGACAAGUCUAUAUCCUUUGACCUUUUUUGAUACAUUUCUGACAUCAGUACACACAAAAAUCUCGCCAAUGGGGAAGAAAAACCCUAAAAGUGUAAUGCACAACGAUGUUUAUUCCAGCUCUAUUUAUAUGAACCACCACACGUGCACAUACAGAAACCCUACAGAUGUACAACAGCAAAGGAAUAUCAUCAAUGGGACUUCAUUCCGUUUUUAACAUGGUAUUUACAAAACCAUGUCUUAGGACAUUACCUUUUGCUUUGGCUUGUCGUUUGAUUCAAAAAGGGAAAUGACAUUCAUUAUGUCUUAGGACACUAUUCACAAUGCAAUUUUAUUGAAAAAAGAUUGUAAAAUUACCACGUAAAAAAAAUCACACUAAAAAGGCUAUUAAUAAAAAUGAUAGAAUUAUGGGUGUUUUUGCCAUACUUUUCUUUUUAAAAAAUAAAAUGUAUUGCCUUACUACUAAUAAAUAAUGUUAAAGGCUAUUUACGAUGAGACUGUAUGACCAUGAACAUUAAACAUUGUUAUGUUUAAUAUUAAAUAAGAUGUUAUAUAGAGAAUUAAGAGAAUAAUCCAUGAUCCUAGAUACAGAAAAGAAAAAAAGGAGAAGGGUCGGAAUGGGGAGGAAGAGACAGGAGCAAGAAGAAGGAAAACAAAUCAAAAGAAAUAAAUAUUUACAAAGUUUUUCUUAUGUGGAGAGUUUUUAAAGCUAGAAACUCAAGGUAAUUUUUUAUCCUUCAUUUUACUUUGAUCUUUUUCAAUAUUUUAGAAGUCAAUAUUUUUAAAAAUAGUAAAACCUGAAAUUCGUUUUCUUCCAUUUUGGCUCCUUGACUGCUGCUACAGAACAUAUCAUUCUGGCCGAGCAAGAACUUCCAGGGAAAGUUCAGAGAACACAUUCUAUUUAAAUCCAUUUAAAAGUUGCUACGACCUUUUUGCCUUUCUUCUAUGGAUUGCAUGUCUGCCCCAGAAACCCUGACUUCCUUCUUGCUCCUCAGUUCUCAGCUGAGGUCUCCAUGUGACACCAUGACCUCUGCUAACCCCGUUUCCCCCGUCGAUUACGUCGAUUACUCUACUGAUGAGUCUCAUCAGGCGUCAUUUCCCUUUUUGAAUCAAACGACAAGCCAAAGCAAAAGGUAAAAUGUGAGCCCUCAAGUCCAGAAUUUCUGUCAAGAGCAGAUGAAUAAGCCUAAGUAAAACCUAGUGCCGCCAAGAGAUUAGGGAAUGUGCCUUAACUUUUCUGUUCUUGGUAAAGAAAAAGAAACUGCUUCUUCACAAGUACCUGUACUCUCUUUGUCAAAUUCUUUCUGUUGAAUUUCUGGAAUGGGGGAAUAUGGCAGGCAAAACAAUCACACUCCCCUGUUCCCCCACAAAAAGUAUCCAUAUCCUAAUCCCCAAAACCUGUGAUGUGUUGUUAACCUGGUAAAGGGGAAUCGAUGGUUGUAGAUGGAAUUAAGGUUGCUAAUUAGUGGAUUUUAAAAUGGGGAGAUUAUCCAGAUGGGCCUAAUACAGUCACAAAGAUCUGAAAGUGGAAGAGGGGGGCAGAAAACGAACACAGAUGAUGAGAUUGAGAAGAACUCAACCCACCACGCCAGGCUUUGAAGCCUGAGGAAGGGGACCAUGGGCCCAGGAAUAUGAGUGGCCUGUACAGGCUGGAGAAGGAAAGGAGAUCGAUUUUUGCCUGGAGCCUCCAGAAAGGAAUGCAGACUUAAAGACACCUUGAUUUUAUCCCAGUGAGGCUGGGUUAGACUUCUGACC